rnacentral:lncRNA from 1 species
AGGCCAUGUUAGUUUUCAUUUAUUUGACUUAAGUUGGUUGUUACCUAUUCAAUGUAAUUAUUUAUUUAUUUUAACAGCAGAUCCACCCUUUUACAAGAAUAAAGUAAAGACUUAAUGAAGUAUUCCAUUCAGUAUUUUCUAAAUGUGAAUAAAUCCGAACAAUUCCUUUUCACUUUAAAUUUCAAUGUCAGCCUUGAAAGCUAGGUAACAAAAAAUGCUUUUUGAAUGGCGUUAAUUGUUUCGACAUGGUUAGAAUAAAAAGUUGACCAUACAGGCGAGGUAUAUUCAAUCCCAGAACGAACAAUUGAAAAGGAGAGCAUCUAAACAAGAGACAGAUAAUAGCAGGAGCAAUAGAGUUACGCACAACAAAACCAAUAUUACGCAUGUCUGUCUAGUAACAUACCCAAGUUUCUAAUGACUUUCCAGGCGGGCCAGUAAAAUAUUGCGAGCGGUUCAUGGCGGGGACGGCCUCGGCUCGUCUGGUCGAUUGCACGACGUUGCCAGAUGCGGUCAUGACGUCACGGCACAGCCUUGUUGAUUUAUAAUGAGAAACAACAGAACCUGCUGCUAGGCUCGAGGAGAUGGCCGCGUUUAAGAGUCGUAAGGUUUAAGCUUUGUGCACACCAAAGAAAAACAGAGGAAGAUUUUGUUGCUGGUUAUCGCAACCUGUUUACAAAAACAAUAGCAAAAAUUCUGUCCACACCAAGGUAACACAUUCUUUUGAAUGUUUCGUUAUGUUGCUGAAAGUAAAACAAACGAGGACCUGACGAGGAAUAACUAUCUAUACUAGUGCAAGUGUGUUUUCAUAAUUUACAAAAAGGUAGUAACAGAGACUGGUAAAGACUAGUAACAAAAAUGCAAAAGGACUAUUAAAAUAAUGUUAUUUUAGUCAAAAAAUACAAUAGUAUAUUUGUAUAAUCUAGUAAUAACCCACAUAAUUUUCAGCACCCUCUCAUUUCUUGAAAAUUAAUUUUUCAACAAUAACGUAUAACUGAAAAUUUAUAAAUCUCAAUUGAUAAAAUUUGUUACAGAAAAUCAACGUCAUCAACGACUUAAAAAUCAAACAACAAAGAUCUUAAAACUUUAGAUUGUGUAACUCUUUUAGGAAUUAAAGUAGAUAGGUUGGUUUCUCGACAAAUCAUAUUAAUUCAAUAGAUAUCCAAGCUUAACAAUAGAAACCUGCAAGUAAAAAUUUCAAAAGGCAGUAUGUAUUUUUAACUCUUUUUUGUUUUUUCUUUUUAUUUAACUUCAUCAAUCGCCAAAUUCGAUUACAUAUAUCCACCUACAAAUCCUGAUCCACUGGUUGUUACCACUCGGCAUUUCGGUAUAAUUCAAUAUGGCACAUUAUAUUUUUUGUUGUCCAGUCCAAGUUUCAAGUUGAGGGAGCAAGCAACAACGUGUCCGUCCAUACUAUUAAAUACUGUUGAACAACAAAAAAUGUUUUUCAAUAUUUCUAUAUUUCCUUUGAUCUUGGCCGCUAAAUAUGGGAACAUGCAACUUAUAAAAACUUUUGUUGAUGCAAUCGUAAAUGAGGAAAUUACAUAAAAACUUUCAGCGACAUUUAGGAGAAAAUUCCAAGAAAAAGCAACAUAAACAUAAAGUUCCUAUUUGUUGCUUUUGCUCUGGACGUAGCUUCACGUUGGAUUUAUAUAAUUCAGUUUUAGGAAUUAUAUACCCUAAAAAUUG